rnacentral:rRNA from 1 species
ACACUCCUGCGGGAGGCAGCAGUGGGGAAUUUUGGACAAUGGGGGCAACCCUGAUCCAGCAAUGCCGCGUGAGUGAAGAAGGCCUUCGGGUUGUAAAGCUCUUUUGUCAGGGAAGAAACGGUAGUAGCGAAUAACUAUUACUAAUGACGGUACCUGAAGAAUAAGCACCGGCUAACUACGUGCCAGCAGCCGCGGUAAUACGUAGGGUGCAAGCGUUAAUCGGAAUUACUGGGCGUAAAGCGUGCGCAGGCGGUUGUGUAAGUCAGAUGUGAAAUCCCCGGGCUCAACCUGGGAAUUGCAUUUGAGACUGCACGGCUAGAGUGUGUCAGAGGGGGGUAGAAUUCCACGUGUAGCAGUGAAAUGCGUAGAUAUGUGGAGGAAUACCGAUGGCGAAGGCAGCCCCCUGGGAUAACACUGACGCUCAUGCACGAAAGCGUGGGGAGCAAACAGGAUUAGAUACCCGUGUAGUCCC